UACGAGGGGGGCAAGUGUUGUUCGGAAUUACUGGGCGUAAAGGGCUCGUAGGCGGCCAACUAAGUCAGACGUGAAAUCCCUCGGCUUAACCGGGGAACUGCCUCUGAUACUGGAUGGCUUGAGAUUGGGAGAGGGAUGCGGAAUUCCAGGUGUAGCGGUGAAAUGCGUAGAUAUCUGGAGGAACACCGGUGGCGAAGGCGGCAUCCUGGACCAACACUGACGCUGAGGAGCGAAAGCCAGGGGAGCAAACGGG
rnacentral:rRNA from 1 species